AGCCUCUCCCCUGCCCCUCGGAGGUUCCAGAUCUGACAACGGGCCUGGUUGAGAAGGGCAAGGCUUCCAGGUCGUCUCAAGUUCAGUUUCCGGGAGCGUCUCGGGGGACCCACGGCAGAAGGAAGGAACGACCAAGUCAGAGGCAAAUUCAACUCUGGAGUCUGGAGCACUUGAGUAAGCCCCGGGAGACUGGUAAAGGAAAACCUUUGAAACUCUAAGUAGCAUUGAAUCCAGUCAACAAUAAGGGCAGUCUUGCUACAGAAAUAAAAGAGAGAGUUAAGGGAAUUAUUUCAACAGCUGCUAAAAUCUUGAAUAAUGUAGCCACAUCCCCUAAUUUCAUUUUCUACAGUAUCCAUUUCAGCUUAAAGCCUAGUCUAGGACAAUUGUUUGUUUGUUUUUUUCUUUUUGGAUAGGUAUGUCAGAGACAAGCAUGGAAUAGAGAGUGCAUAUUUGGCACCUGGUUUACAGAAUAAAGAUAAACACAAUAAAUUGUAGAACAAAGAAUAAAGAUAAAUACAAUGAAUAUAAAUAUAAAGAAUAAAUACAAUAAAGAUAAAUACAAUAAAUUAAAUACAAUACUUUUCGACAUGGUUUUCCCCUUUGUUUGAGUCAAUUCCUAAAUGUUAACAGAUUAAACUCUGAAAUUAAUUUUUAGCUUCUAGCACUACUAGAAAAUCAGAACUUGUCAUGUGAAAAGGUAAGUAUUUCUGGUUAUUGAUUCCUUUAUUUUUUGUUAAGCUAAAAUAUAAUGGGAACUUCCCAGCUAAUAGUGGAGUUCUGUCCUUGGAGCACGAAAAGUUGUCAUAUGCAAUGUGUAAACGAAUGGGCCGUGUUCCAAUAAAACUUUAUUUAUAGACAGUGAAA